rnacentral:rRNA from 1 species
GGAAUCUCGCGCAAUGGGCGAAAGCCUGACGCAGCAACGCCGCGUGCGGGAAGAAGGCCUUCGGGUUGUAAACCGCUUUCAGAAGGAACGAAACUGACGGUACUUUCAGAAGAAGGUGCGGCCAACUACGUGCCAGCAGCCGCGGUGACACGUAGGCACCAAGCGUUGUCCGGAUUUAUUGGGCGUAAAGAGCUCGUAGGCGGUUCGAUAAGUCGGGUGUGAAAACUUUGGGCUCAACCCAAAGCGUGCAUUCGAUACUGUUGUGACUAGAGUUCGGUAGGGGAGUGGGGAAUUCCUAGUGUAGCGGUGAAAUGCGCAGAUAUUAGGAGGAACACCGGUGGCGAAGGCGCCACUCUGGGCCGAAACUGACGCUGAGGAGCGAAAGCGUGGGUAGCAAAC